ensembl:lincRNA
AUGUUCUAUGGCUACAACCGCUGUGACCUCAGACGUGUUAACCAGAAUGAAGCAAGACUGUUCACACGUGGUUUCUUCCUCAAGGGCUCAAAGAAUGCUGAUAUUCUCAGGGGCACAAGCACUCUCCUCUGCGGCUCGAGCACCCACAGGCCUGAAGGGACCGCCACUCGCCGUCCACGCGGACUCCACGCUGCGUCCGCACAGCCUUUUCCGCGGCGGCACACAAGGAUGUCUGCCUCAUACUGGGGCCACUCACGCGCGGCGCCCAACAAAGGACACGCUGAGAGAGCCCGAGGUCCCAGUCACGACGCGCACCGUGGAACACGGAGCGUAGGGUCGUAAAAGUCCUGUAAAGUAAAGCCUCAGGCCCCGCGCGAGAAACUGGGAGACUUCUGGGAGUGGCCGCUCGGCCUGGCCGUGCGCAAGCGCACAGGACAGACCUGCUGGAGGCCAACUCCUGAGGCGAAGGGUUGAUGUCCGGGUUGUGCUUGCUUGAAGAAGGCGAGUCCGGCUGAUACCCGACCAGGGAGCUCUGAGAAGGGCACUGCGGAGCUUUUCUCUUCCAAGGCCUCAGGCGUGUGUGUGAGGGUCCGCCCUGUUGUGAGGGUCAGUGAUGUGGCCCCGAGGACCAUGGUGUGCUUGCCAGGCUGUGAGCAUCUGAAUGUGGGAUGCUGAGUUUGUUGUGUCCCCUGAAAUAAAGACAGCCUGUUCAGUAAUGUAUGUAAAUAUCAACUUUUAUACUCAGGGAAAGGUCUAGAGUGUCCAAUGAAGUGUUAAGGAAAUGAUUAUAAAGUGUUAAGGAAAUGGUUGCUUUCCUGUGACGUGACAUUCUUCAUUCCAUUGCAUUCUUCAUCCUUAGAAACAUUAAAGAUGGACUGAAUUAAUUAGAAAUGGCAAAAAAAAAAAAACCUGAAGAAAUAUCUUGUAAAUAUUUUUAUUAUUUUGGUUUAGGCUACAGGUUUUCUAAACAUAAGCAAGGCGAGGAAUCCAGAGAGAAUUUUCACAUAAUCGUUAUUUGUAAAUCUUUAUGGUUAUUUAUAAAUACCCCAAAUAUUUGAAUAGUAUAAGUAAAUAAAGCAAAACCAAAAACAACAUCAUGAAUUUGGGGGAAAUAUUUAUAACAUUAAAUGGACAAACAAGUAUUAAUUUAAUGUCUGUCACUUAAAAUAUUGGUCAAUACCCUGAAGAGAAAAAGGAGCAGAGACUAAAAAAUUAAUCAUUCACAAAUACCAAUAAAGUAGUCAAAAAACAUAGUGGAGCCACAACCUAAGACUUCUUGAUUAUGAAGGGGUGGAAAAGUAAUCACUUCUGAGCAGCUGGUUGAGACCCCUGUAAUAAAAGACAAGAUUAACAGCAGAAAAACAGCUUAUCGAGAUGGGCAGCAGGUAUCACCUAGGAGAAAUCUAAAACAAAAACGGCUCAAAUAGGUGGCUUAGAAUUCCAGAUUAUAUACCAUCGUCAACAAAGCAUACGUUUAUAGAAAAUGACAGGACAAAAGAAAGCAGUUUUAGGCUUCUAAGAGCAGCAAACUGUGGGAAGGUAAGUAUCAAGAGGAAACAAAUGGAGUAGGGUUUGUUUGCAGAUUCCUCUGAUGCCCUCUCUGGGGUGAGUAGAGUCUGUCUCCUGCAAAAUAAUUUUUUUGCCUUUAGGCAGAAAAUGGGGAGUUCUUUCUGGGUUUGCAUCUCCUUUUUUUUUUUUUAAGAUUUUAUUUACUUAUUUGGUAGAGGUCACAAGUAGUCGGAGAGGUGGGCAGAGAGAGAGGGGGAAGCAGGUUCCCUGCUGAGCAGAGAGCCCGUUGUAGGGCUCGAUCCCAGGACCCUGAGACUUUGACCUGAGCUGAAGGCAAAGGCUUUAACCCACUGAGCCACCCAGGCACCCCUGGGUUUAUAUCUUCUUAAUUGCCUUCAGCUCAGAGUAACUUUUAUGUCAAGGAGGCAUAUUUAGAGGUGACAUAUUCUGGUUUCCUUCAGUCACUUCUCUCUUUCAUUAAAUCAGUUCUUAGAUGAAUUGCUCAUGAAUCUCCUGAAUAAUCCUAUACACCUACCAUUUCUAAAACUGUCCUUAGCAGGCUCUUUCUCCUCAUUUUCUUUAUAUAUUUUUUCAUAGGCUACCACGUUCUUUUUAUUAGCAUCAUUGGUCUCUUCCUUAUAUAUAUGAAAAAUAUCAUGAAUUACUUACUAAGUUUUCCCUGAAAUUCUUGCUGGUCCUCAAUAACCCCUCAACUAGGCAAUAGGCCAGGAGGCAUUUCUGUCCUCUUGGUCAGGUACAGAAGAAAGAAACAAAAAUCAAAACUCUUCAAUUUCACAAUUGAGGUCUAGCUGAUCGCCUACAAAUAUUAUGCUCCCCUUAAGAACAUUUAAGUUUAUUUGACUUUCUGGAAGUUCUUAAUGGGGAGCAAGAGAGGAAGAUCCUAAAGCAUCACAGACAAGGUUCUUGCCCACACAUGCUGUUCUGAGUGCCUAGAUCCAAAUGAAAAAUUAAAGAUUUAUAAGGUUAUUUAUUUUUAAAACUAUUUUAUUUAUUUGAUGGAGAGAGAGCGAGUGAGCAUGCAAGCAUGCACAAGCAGGAGGAGCAGCAGGGAGAGGGUGAGAGCGAAGCAGGCUUCCUGUUGAGCAGGGAGCCCAAUGCAUCCCCUUUAAUCGAAGUUUUAAAAAGUGUUAUAAUUGGGGUGCCUGGGUGGCUCAGUCGGUUAAGCCGCUGCCUUUGGCUUGGGUCAUAAUCUCGGGGUCCUGGGAUCGAGUCCUGCAUCGGGCUUUCUGCUCAGCGGGAAGCCUGCUUCCCUCUCUCUCUCUCUCUGCCUGCCCCUCUGUCUACUGUGAUCUGUGUCUGUCAAAUAAACAAAUAAAAUCUUAAAAAAAAAAUAAAAGUGUUAUAAUUGACCUUAAAAAUUCUGGAAUGUGUAACUCUUUCUUAAGGAUGGGCCACACAGAUUGACUUGCUUCUGAAAAGAAAGAUCUCAAUAAAAGUAGGGCAAACUAAAAAUAAAGAAAGCAGAGGUGCCUGACUGGCUGGGUAGUUAGAGUGUGACUCUUAAUCUGAGGGUGGUGAGUUAGAGCCACACGUUAGGUAUAGAGAUUAGUUUAAAAAAAAAACAAAAGGCAGAAAGAAGGAAAUAACAAAGAUUAAGGCAGAAAAUAAUUCAACAGAAAAUAGAAAACAAAAUAAAAACCAAUAAAAUAUUUAUGAUAAAACGUGCAAACUAUUCCUACUAUAUAACCUGUAUAUAUCUUAUCAUUUACUGUGUGAACUGCUAAUAUAAUGUCUAAUUUGUUCAAUUAAAAAUAAAAGGGGGGCACCUGGGUGAGCUCAGAUGGUUAAGAUUCUGCCUUUGGCUCAGGUCAUGAUCUUAGGGUCCUGGGAUCCAGCCCCAAGUCAGGCUCUUUGCUCAGUGGGGAGUCUGUUUCUCCCUCUCCUUCUGCCUCUCGCCUCUGCUCAUAUUUUAUCUCUCUAUCUUAAAUUAAUGAAUGAAAAUCUUAGGGAAAAAUCCCUUAAAAAUUAAAGGAAAAAGUAUCAAGGAACUACAUCAUAGCAACUUUUAAGGGAGGGUUGAAGUGGAAGCAUUUUUAAAAAAUUCAUUCAUUUGUUUUUGAGAUCUGCUUAAUGUAGACACUCAAGGCCUGGGCAGAGUGGGGGAGUGGCCAGGAACUGGACAGGCAGGCAAGGUGGGUGGUCACAUGCCCAUACCUGGCCCCAGGUAUGGUGGGGGUGGGCCCAGGCACCCCAAGGGGAGUACCAGAAGGGUGGCCCAGGCAGAUAGACCUACUAGGGGACCUGUAGGCCAGGCCUUGAGAAGGUAUCUAAGUCAGGUGCUGAGUACUCAUGGCCAAAGCCUAGCCCAGGGUGGAAGGAUUGGGUCCUGGUUGUGAGCUAGAGGAGCCUAGGGUCCUCCCUGAGCUGGACUCAAGACAUGAUCUGCUGAUUGGACUCAGGCAGCUCCUAGAGACAGAUGUGGAGGUAGAGGUUUUCUUCCAGGUGGUCCAGACAUGAGCUGAUCUGGUCCAACACAAAGCUGAUGGCAGCAUCUUCUGCUUCCCUAAAGCCAUUAUCCUCGUCUUUCCCUCUCACCUGCACAGGCUUGCCCAGAUCCAGGUUGGAGUGACAUCUGGCUGGGGAGCCAAAAGGGCCUUACAAUCAUUGAUGGGGUACAUGUUCCAUCAACAGCUACCACCUGGCAGUAGGUGGAGAUGCCAGAUUGAAAUUGAAGCUCCUUUUUUUAGAGAGAGAGAAUGCACAUGUGGGUAUGGGGUAGGGGGAGCGCAGAGAGUAAGGGAGAGAGAAUAUUUAUUUAUUUGAUAGAGAUCACAAGUAGGCAGAGAGGACAGGCAGAGAGAGAGAGAGGGACAAGCAGGCUCCCCGCUGAGCAGAGAGCCCGAUGUGAGGCUCGAUCCCAGGACCCCAAGAUCAUGACC